GGAAUUACUGGGCGUAAAGCGCACGCAGGCGGUCUGUCAAGUCGGAUGUGAAAUCCCCGGGCUCAACCUGGGAACUGCAUUCGAAACUGGCAGGCUUGAGUCUUGUAGAGGGGGGUAGA
rnacentral:rRNA from 1 species